rnacentral:rRNA from 1 species
GACGAACGCUGGCGGCGUGCCUAAUACAUGCAAGUCGAGCGGACCGGAUUGGGGCUUGCCUUGAUUCGGUCAGCGGCGGACGGGUGAGUAACACGUGGGCAACCUGCCCGCAAGACCGGGAUAACUCCGGGAAACCGGAGCUAAUACCGGAUAACACCGAAGACCGCAUGGUCUUCGGUUGAAAGGCGGCCUUUGGGCUGUCACUUGCGGAUGGGCCCGCGGCGCAUUAGCUAGUUGGUGAGGUAACGGCUCACCAAGGCGACGAUGCGUAGCCGGCCUGGAGGGGUGACUCGCCACACUGGGACUGGGACACGGGCCCGGCCCCCACGGGGGGCAGCAGUAGGGGAUCCUCCGGCAUGGGCGGAAGGCCGGAGGGGCGACGCCGGGGGGGCGGAGAAGGCCUUCGGGUCGUAAAGCUCUGUUGUGAGGGACGGAGGAGCGUCGUUCGAAGAGGGCGGCGCGGUGACGGUACCUCACGAGAAAGCCCCGGCUAACUACGUG